UUUAUAUAUUUUUAUGAAACCCCUGCACUGGCUCCUUGGCUACACAAAGAACGCAGACCUUGAACAAAACAGGCAACUUCAAUCCUGCAAGACAAACCAACAAGCAGUUCAAGUCAGGAUAUGAGCUAGAGAGGUUCCUCCAAGUCUCGAUAAAACAACCUGUUUGACUCCGUUAGAAAUACAUCAUUCUAAACGUUCUUUAUUGGCUCCUUUAUUGGUUCAACUUAUACAACUACUCAUCUAUUGAUUUAUUAUUCUUCUAUUCAUUUAUCCAAUUAUCGACACAUACUUUUAAUCAUAAGUUUAAUUAUUCGUCACUUUUUCUCUUAUUUUAUCAGAUUCUCCAUCUAUUUAUCUACUCAUUCAUUCUUUUAUAAAUUUAUUCAUUAAUUCAAUUAUUCUUUUCACCAUGGAUCAUUUAUUUAAUGUAUUAAUCAUUUACUCAUUUAUCUAUUUGUUCUUUUCAUUUAUUCAUUUAUACAUCCAUUCACAUACUCACCUGCCCACCAAUAUACACAUUUAAUUAUUUAUUUAUCCAUUUUCUCGUCUAUAUAUUAGUUAAUAGCUUAUUCCCUUAAUUAAUUUAUUCAGUUAUUUAAAUAAUUUUUCAUUUCUCCGAUUAAUGCUUACAUCCAUCUAUCGACUUCUUGAUAAAGGAUGGGAUGGAAUAUGGUAUAGAAUAAGACCACAGUACUCUUGUAUGGAACAUGAAGUUAUUCAAGGAGGUGUAUAACCAAGAUAAUAAAUCAGCAAAUCAGAGAUAUAAAGAGAUGGGCCACUUUUACGAAAGUUCUUGAUCAGUGCCUGGUAUCAUCAGAAUACGAGUUCAAAUUGCUCUCAUGUUCCGAACAAAGCAAAUAUAUUAAACAACAAUUCUGCUAGCAGGCACAUCAGUAAUAAUAAAACUUACAUGAUCUCUUUUUCCAUUAAUUACAGUGCAGGCCAUAGAUGGAGCAUACUCCUUUUGUUUCUCUGACAGAGCUUGAAACAUCACAUUGUCAAACUUAAUGCUAAAUAUAAUAAAUAAAAACAUUUUCAAGAUGUUUUUUUAUUAACUUGUUGUUUAAAGAGAAGUUGGUGACUUUUUAGUAUUUUCGCGUUGAGGCGUUUUUAAUUAAGGAUAUACUCAACAGACAUGACAAACGUCAAACAAGUCUGUUUUAAAAGUCUGCAGAGAGUACUGUUUUUGGAUACGAUAGCCAGAUGUUUCACCUUCUUCUCUUGGCGGCAAAUUCUUGAUUUUACAGUUCUGGUAACUGGCUGAAACUAACGUAUUUUAUGUUGGAGUAGGGUUUGACGAAACUUGCAUAUUAAAAAAAAACACAAAAAAUCAAUGUGAACAUCCGACCCUAUGUCAAAUAAUGUUAAAAAUUUGAUAUGUACUGUAUACAUUAUACACAUGUACAGUGUACAGUGGUUGAUGUAAACAAACACACAUGUCCAGUUUUUCAAUAAUUGUCAUGGAGGAACCUUGCUGUUUUGUUUUUGGGAAACGCGGAAAAAAUAUUCUCCAGGAUGGAGACUUUUUCCAGUAUUCCAAGAAUUAUACCAAAAAAGAAAAGUCUUACUGGAAAUGUGUAAAAUCAAGCUGCAAAGGAAGAGCUAUCACAAGUGGGGAUUUUAUUGUAGAAAAAAUCCAUCAUGAUCACACAGCAGAUAUUUCUCUUGUCAGGAAAACUGCUCGAGUAUUUUGAGAACACUUACAUUGGAAAGGAAACCAAAAGCUUCAGAAAACCCCCGAUGUUUACUUUAGAAAUUUGGAUGUCUGUGAUGAAAUUUUGAAUAAUGAACCCACCACAAACAACCAAACUGAACGAUGGUUUAGAAGUUUCACAGCUGACCAACCUGGAAUACAGACUGCUGGGAAGUCCUUUUUAGGUCUUAGAAGAGAAGACACAUUGGCUAAACUACUUUUCAAAGAGCUCUAAGACAAGACCUACAUUGAUCCGAAGGCAGCUCAAUCGGCAAGAAUUCUUGAAAGAAAUAAACGUUUUAAACAAAU